rnacentral:rRNA from 1 species
UACGUAGGGUGCGAGCGUUGUCCGGAAUUACUGGGCGUAAAGAGCUCGUAGGUGGUUUGUCGCGUUGUUCGUGAAAUUCCCUGGCUUAACUGGGGGCGUGCGGGCGAUACGGGCAGACUGGAGUACUGCAGGGGAGACUGGAAUUCCUGGUGUAGCGGUGAAAUGCGCAGAUAUCAGGAGGAACACCGGUGGCGAAGGCGGGUCUCUGGGCCGAUAUUGACGCUGAGGAGCGAAAGCGUGGGGAGCAAACACG